AGUCCAAGGCAAGUUUGACCAUUUGCUCCAGGUCGCCACGGUCGAGAACAAUAUCACAUUCCCCGUUGCCGGCCGGGGGUCGCAAAAGAAGGUCCUGGAAACGGAUCACCAUUGGGGCACUGGCAGAAUAACCACUGGCGCUCUUGGUAACAGUCGCCUCCUGUGUCAUAACAGGACGGGGGCGAGCAGCUCCAUCACGGAAUUGCCACAUCUCAAGGUGGACUCGGUGAUUGCGGAAUACCUUUAACGUGAUCACCACUCGUACCUCCCCCUGGGAUUCUGUUAACCACCAGCUGGUGUCUUUCUUUAACUUUGAAGCAGACUCGGAAUACCCAACCUCAAGAACCAGGCUGGGCCAUUCAUCUGAUCGGGCGGCCGGGAGUAGGCGUGGCCGGAAUGAUGUAUCGGGAAUUUUGGUGCGUGUUGUUCCAUGCACAUCUUUUGAUCCACAGGCUUUCACUUCGAGAGAAAAGUCUGUUCUCAUUUCGUCCAGUUUGCGUUGAAGAACUUUGUCAAAGUAGCGG
rnacentral:sRNA from 2 species